GAUGAACGCUGGCGGCGUGCCUAAUACAUGCAAGUCGAGCGAACAGAUAAGGAGCUUGCUCCUUUGACGUUAGCGGCGGACGGGUGAGUAACACGUGGGUAACCUAUCUAUAAGACUGGAAUAACUCCGGGAAACCGGGGCUAAUGCCGGAUAACAUGUUGAACCGCAUGGUUCUACAGUGAAAGGCGGCUUUGCUGUCACUUAUAGAUGGACCCGCGCCGUAUUAGCUAGUUGGUGAGGUAACGGCUCACCAAGGCAACGAUACGUAGCCGACCUGAGAGGGUGAUCGGCCACACUGGAACUGAGACACGGUCCAGACUCCUACGGGAGGCAGCAGUAGGGAAUCUUCCGCAAUGGGCGAAAGCCUGACGGAGCAACGCCGCGUGAGUGAUGAAGGUCUGCGGAUCGUAAAACUCUGUUAUUAGGGAAGAACAAAUGCGUAAGUAACUGUGCGCGUCUUGACGGUACCUAAUCAGAAAGCCACGGCUAACUACGG
rnacentral:rRNA from 1 species